AAAAUAUGCGAUGUGAAUAACUAUAUUGCUAUCCACGAGAAUCAUACCGUUCAGCUAACUUAAUAUGGAUAAAUAAAGCUUUCUUUACCUCAAAUGAGAUGAAAUUCGUGCUAUAUUUAAAUAACUUGAAACACAUCACGAAUUUAGCGCUACCAUGUGUACCAUGUUAGACAAAGGCCGGGGGGACCAAGAGUAUGAGAAAGAUGAGUCAAGGAACGAGAGUUCAAGUGAUGAGAAUAUCCUCGUCAAGAAAAGGAGCCUUACUAGACCCACAAAAACACCAUAAAAGGAAAUAAAUACCAAUAUGAAAAAUACCCAUUUGAGUGUUUCUACCAGUAAGUUUCCUAAUUUUACUUUGUUAGAAAAUAGAUUUAUUUUUUAGAUUUUGAUAACUAUAUCGGCGAUACAACAGAAGUUAGAAAACUUGACCAGACAUAUAAUAUGCCCUCUACUUCUGGAAAUUAUUACCAAUAGAUUAGAAGAUGAAUGUUGGACCAGAAACCUAACAAAUGUUCCAGUUCUAUUUCAAAUACCCAUAUUGGUAAAUCCAUGGAAAACGUAAGCAGAUCAGGAAACUUAGAUGUGGAACUUUGAUAUGGAAAACAAAAACUCAUAUAACGAACACAAUGGAACAAAUAUUUACAAAACCAGGCAGUAACUGAAGAUAUAGUGAACAUCAUCAAAGAAAAAGAAGUACUCAUGCUCAUGCUCGCAUUAGAAAUUGGUAUGAUACCCCUUAUGAUAAAAUGAAAAUUUUUUUGUCCGUAAUACUGUGGACGGGAAUUAUCCGGUUAACUUAAGUCAAGGAUUAGUGGUAAACAAAUAACAUAUGUACAAAUGAAAUAAACACUAUUUUAACAAGAAAUAGGUUUGAAAUACUGGUAAGAACAUGGCAUUUCGGUGACAACUUCAAUCCUCCAGAAAAUGUUCGGCUUUAAAUGAAGACAUCCUUGACAGAUAUGCAUUUUCCAAUACGUCUAUGUACCAGAAGAAGAAUUUUGUACUGAUAAGACACUAACUUCCUUUCCGUCUAAGCCAUAUAUUCCAAAUAAGCGGCACAAAUAAAAUUACUGUGUUUUCAAUGCGGUUACAUAUAUGACUUGAAGGUAUAGUGCGGCAAAUACAAAACUGGUGAUAUAAAUACUUCAAAAGAAGAAAACUCAUCAAUGGUUUUUGUGAGAAGACAUUGAGAUGAAAUGGAAAAACUGACAAUAGUUUUAGAUUAGAUAUCAUAAAGCCUUUAUAGAUCUUUCUGUUCAGUUGAAAUCAUAUUCCACCGGUUUACACUCAGAGAUCAAAUGAUAAUUAAUAGCAUUAGAGCAGAUAAUAGGAAGUACGGUAAUAAAUGCAAAACAUAAGACGAUAAUAGAGAAAAAAUAUCCGUUUGACAAGUUUGACAAGACAUCCCAAGUCUAAUCGAAUUAGCGUCAACCAUGUUUUA